UGAUCUAAUUGCUGCUUCACCAGGGC
rnacentral:piRNA from 1 species